GUCAAAAUGCAAAAGUUAAUUGCAUGCUAUUUGAUCUAUUUAUUUCUUAUCAUAAAUUUUUCUGUAAAAUUACUUAUCUAAAGAUCUUUACUCUUGAAGUCUUGAAAGUAUAGGAUGCAUACAUGUUAACUCUUGAGAAUGAUGCUAGAAAUAUUGAGGAAAAGCAUCUGCCAUGAUAUACUGAUUGGGUUAUAUUCACAAGCAGAGAAACAUUGAGGUGCUGAUUCCAGGAUAUAGUGUUGAGUGACUACAAUAGUGAUGAAAACACCUUCUAUGGGAAAAAAGAACUAAUGCAAUAACUUUCAUCCUUGUGAACAAGAAAUGAAUCUGUUUCUAUAGCACUGAUGGAAGAAGAAAAAGUGACUGGGACUACCCUGAAAAUUGCAAUAAACAAAUUACUGGUUAUGAUAUGAAAAAAAUCCUCCCGUUUAAUUAGUUGACUGGUGCCUCUUCUUUGGUGUCUGAAGUUUCCUUCUUGUGGUCGGAAGAAUGGCAGUGGAAUCUGUCCCAGAGAGGGGACACUCAUACCUUAGACAGACUCUGCAACAGUGAAUCUUUCGUCUCAUCUUUCCAGAAUGGAGAACUUAACCGGUACCCUAUGCCCGGGUCAUACGCUAAGAAUGUUCUGAAAAAACAAUACAAGGGCCAGAUUUGAUAUGAAAGAAUACAAAUAAUUUCAAGUAAAUUUAUCCAGAAGCAUUUUCAUUUAAAAUAUGUUGUUUCUUCAAAUCCUCUUCUCAAACCAACUUACAUCAGACUUUGGUACUCCCACUCUCUAGAGACACUCUCCUCAGCCCUUUCCUGUUCAGACCCACACUUAUCUUCACUUCACUAGAGCUGUUGUUCAAUUCGUGAUCUUCACAUCACUGAACUUGUUAACAGCAUUAAAUUAAAUGAUGAAACACAUUUUUAAUUUUUUUCAUAAAGUUGUAUUAUCUAAUCAUGCAUGCUUAAUUUUUAAAAUAUCUUUACUCAUUUUUGAAACAUAUAUAAAAGAAAUCAUAACAACAUGUAAAAUGUUGCAUAGGGCUUUUGUCACUUAAUAUAAUACAAUGUUUAGGGAACAUUCAUUGAUUUUCAUUAGUAUAUAGUAUUACGUAUUGUAAAUAUGUUAUAUAUAUUUAUCUGUUCUGCUCCUUAUUGACAUUAAGUUUUCUUCCAGUUUAGCACCAUUUGAAAUAAAGUUGCUAUGAAAAUUGUGCAAUUAUUUUGUACAUAUAAGCAUACAUUUCCACAGGGUAUAUACCUAGGAGUGAAAUUUACUGGGUAAGGGGGCAUGUUUAUUCAAACAUAUGAGAUAAUGUGAAUAUUUUUUCCAAAGUGUUUGUGUCAAUUUGAACUUCUUCCAGGAACUUUAUGAGCAUUUUAUUUACUCCACUUUGCCACUUAUGCUUAGUAUUAUUAUGUUCUUAUCUGUUGGUUACAAUGUGGUUAUUAAAAGCACACUGUAGUAACAAUGUGCUUUUAAUCUGCAUUUUCUAACUAGGUGUUGAGGACUUUCCAUAUGUUUCUUGGAUAUACAGAUUUAGUUUUAGAAACUGCCUGUUAAGUCUUCAUAUUAUUAUUAUUAUUAUUAUUUUAGCAGUAAACUGUACUGCCUCAUAUACCUAUAGUAGUUCUCUGUGUAUUCAGAAUACAAGUACUUCCCCUUUUAUCAAGUGUUAUCAAUCUGAUUUCCCAUUCUGUGGCUUGGCUCAUGAAUUUGUAUUAAGAAGUAUAACUGUGUCUUUUGUUAAGAACAAAUCUUUUGUUCUAAUGUUUUCAAAUUUCUUAACACUUACUUUUAUUAUGGCUUUAUUAUUAGUGCAUUUUAUAUGUAUUAAUAAAUCAUUCCCUGCAC
rnacentral:lncRNA from 1 species